rnacentral:rRNA from 1 species
CCCUUAGAUGUUCUGGGCCGCACGCGCGCUACACUGACGAAUGCAACGAGCUUAUAAUCUUGGCCGAAAGGUCUGGGUAAUCUCCAAAUUUCGUCGUGAUGGGGAUAGAUUAUUGCAAUUAUUAAUCUUCAACGAGGAAUGCCUAGUAAGCGCAAGUCAUCAGCUUGCGUUGAUUACGUCCCUGCCCUUUGUACACACCGCCCGUCGCUCCUACCGAUUGAAUGGUCCGGUGAAGCGUUCGGACCGUGGCCUUUGGACGGUUCGCCGUCUGUUGGCUGCGGGAAGUUCGUUAAACCUUAUCAUUUAGAGGAAGGAGAAGUCGUAACA